GAGCUCGCUUCAGCAGCACAUAUACUAAAAUUGGAACGAAACAGAGAGGAUUAGCAUGGCCCAUGCAAAAUCAUGAAGCGUUCCAUAUUAUA
rnacentral:snRNA from 1 species